UACAGAGGUCUCAAGCGUUGUUCGGAUUCAUUGGGCGUAAAGGGUGCGUAGGCGGCGCGGUAAGUCGGGUGUGAAAUCUCGGAGCUUAACUCCGAAACUGCAUUCGAUACUGCCGUGCUUGAGGACUGGAGAGGAGACUGGAAUUUACGGUGUAGCGGUGAAAUGCGUAGAUAUCGUAAGGAAGACCAGUGGCGAAGGCGGGUCUCUGGGCAGUUCCUGACGCUGAGGCGCGAAGGUCAGGGGAGCAAACGGG
rnacentral:rRNA from 1 species